AUCAAAAUGACUAGUCAAGUCAAUUUUGCAAUCUACCCACAUAUAUUUACCCUUUCAUUUUUGUAUUUUCUUGAUGUGGGAUUUAUUAUCUCAGCACUCCCCCCUCAAGUGCAACCAUAUGGUUGUAACUUGACAAUUAUUUUGUAUUUUUAACCCAAUACGGGUUCAAUUAUAUAGCCUUAUGGGCGGUUGAAACCCACAAUCCAGUCCGAACUCUGAUAUCAUGUUAAAUUUGGAGAGAAUGUUAGUCAAAUUGCAACUUAAUUCAUUUUAAUUCGAGCUUA
rnacentral:misc_RNA from 1 species